rnacentral:rRNA from 1 species
GUGGGGAAUAUUGGGCAAUGGGCGAAAGCCUGACCCAGCAACGCCGCGUGAAGGAAGAAGGUCUUCGGAUCGUAAACUUCUAUCCUUGGUGAAGAUAAUGACGGUAGCCGAGAAGGAAGCCCCGGCUAACUACGUGCCAGCAGCCGCGGUAAUACGUAGGGGGCAAGCGUUGUCCGGAAUGAUUGGGCGUAAAGGGCGCGUAGGCGGCCUGGUAAGUCUGGAGUGAAAGUCCUGCUUUUAAGGUGGGAAUUGCUUUGGAUACUGUCGGGCUUGAGUGCAGGAGAGGUAAGUGGAAUUCCCGGUGUAGCGGUGAAAUGCGUAGAGAUCGGGAGGAACACCAGUGGCGAAGGCGGCUUACUGGACUGUAACUGACGCUGAGGCGCGAAAGUGUGGGGAGCAAACAGGAUUAGAUACCCGGGUAGUCC